rnacentral:rRNA from 1 species
UACGUAGGGGGCAAGCGUUGUCCGGAAUCAUUGGGCGUAAAGAGCGCGUAGGCGGCCCGAUAAGUCCGCUGUGAAAGUCAAGGGCUUAACCCUUGAAUGCCGGUGGAAACUGUCGGGCUAGAGUCCGGAAGAGGCGAGUGGAAUUCCUGGUGUAGCGGUGAAAUGCGCAGAUAUCAGGAGGAACACCGAUGGCGAAGGCAGCUCGCUGGGACGGUACUGACGCUGAGGAGCGAAAGCCAGGGGAGCAAACGGG